CGAGUGCAAAGGACGCCGUUGAAAAAGUUAUAAAAGAGAUUCGCAGUUUUAAUAAAAUGGAUAAUGUGAACCCACAACAACAUAAAUCACUUGAAAACUUAUUCUUAGGAUACAGAGGUGGAUGGUUGGAAUAUAAAUAUAUAUACAUAUCUUUUUCCCUUCUUCAGCCAAAAUCUCUAAUUAGUACUCUUUUCCAACCUCCUCCUUUUUAGCUUUAUCCUGUGUAUCCAUCAAUAAUCAGUCCUAUAACCUUCUUAACCUUCUCUCAUUUACCUAUGCAUUUGUUGUGAGAAAUCCAUUUUUUACUAUCUUCCUUCCUUCUUAUUUCUUCAUUCAUUAUCCUGCUUUUUAUUUAUCAAGUCACAUUAUAUUUCCAAUACUACGUUUCCAUAAUUAAGAUAUUUCUCCGAUUUCCUUCACUUAUCACUGUGGCCCCUUUUCCUUAUAUAUCAUAAUACUAACUAUGAACUAUUGUUCAUUUCAAAAAUUCUUCAUUAAGAUAUGUGAUUGUUCGAAUACUUCGAAUGGAAUUUUACAGUUCAAUAAAUCUUCGAUUAAUUGA